rnacentral:rRNA from 1 species
CCUACGGGUGGCAGCAGUAGGGAAUUUUCGUCAAUGGGCGCAAGCCUGAUCGAGCGAUGCCGCGUGAGUGAAGAAGGCCUUCGGGUCGUAAAGCUCUGUUGCCGGGGAAAAAAGUCAGCAUCAGUCAAUGGGUGCUGACUGCUAGUUCCCCGCCAGCAAGUCACGUCUAACUACGUGCCAGCAGCCUCGGCAAUACUUAUGUGUCUAGCGUUAUCCGGAAUGAUUGGGCGUAAGGGGUGCGCAGGCGGUCCUGCAAGUCUGGGGUGAAACGCAUGAGCUCAACUCAUGCAUGGCUUGGGAAACUGGAGGACUGGAGAGCAGGAGAGGGAGGUGGAACUCCAUGUGUAGCGGUAAAAUGCGUAGAUAUAUGGAAGAACACCAGUGGCGAAGGCGGCCGCCUGGACUGUUGCUGACGCUGAGGCACGAAAGCGUGGGGAGCAAAUAGGAUUAGAUACCCUUGUAGUC